AUCAUAUCUCCCGAAGCAGACGAUUUAACAUUGCUUGUGUGAGAUUCUGGCAUAUGUAAUAUUCACAUUAUUUUUUUUCCGGCUACCCUACCCAUGCUGCACACAGACAUUCGAUUCUUUACAAUAAAGCAAUUCCUACCCUGAAGCAAGCUUGAUCUGAUUGUGGGACAUCCAAUAAAAGCUUAUGUGCAGUGAGAGAAAUGUAUGUAUGAGACAGAAUCCAGCAUGCAAAAAGUUUGAAGAUGGCAAGAACACCCCCCCAUGGGUUAGUGCAGUAGUGGGGCAAAUACUUUUCAUCAUCAUCUGUUUAUAUAGCACCAACAAGUUACACAGUGCUUUUAGACAUUAGACUUUUAAGAAAAAAAGACUGGCUAUUAUAUCAGGGAAGUGUUAGAUCAUUUGCAACUAGAAUUACCUAAAUGGUAUAUCUGGAAAAUGUUAUGCACAAUACAGGUAAAUUCCAUGUUGCUGACAAGACGAAUGAUCAUUUUAUAGUGCUCUACUAGCUUCUGUUGUGGGUUUGGAGUAUCUCUGCAGUACCAAAUACAUACCAUCCAUAAUACUACCCAAGAGAAAACCUAUAUGUUGCCUAUUCAAACCAGAAAGCUGUUGACCUAUGGACUUUAUUAUUAUUAAAUAGAUGUCCUGGGACUCAUUUGGUCAUUGUUAUGUUCUGGUGUUUGUGCAUCAUUUCGCCGGCUAAUACAACACAAUAGGUGCCCUCUUGUCUGUAGACCUGAGGUCUGUUAGAAAACUUGUUUGAGGUAUGGAAGCCUCACCAUUCUGCUGUUGUAAGUACCCACCCCAGAGGACAGAUAGAUUUUUUUCAAAAUGUUUGUAAUUUAUGUCCCAGCAUUUAAAAAGUCUGCUAAAUAAAGAGUAAAUAUAAAACA